AUCCUGCAGGCACCAUGAAGACGCUCUGGACCCUUCUGUGCCUGAUGACUGCUCCUCUGGGUGUCCUGUCUGAUCUGACACUUCAGGAUUCAGGACCUGGCCUGGUGAAGCCUGGACAGACCCUGUCCCUCACCUGCACUGUCACCGGGGGCUCUGUCACUACUAGUUACUACUGGCAUUGGAUCCGCCAGCCCCCUGGGAAAGCUCUACAGUGGAUGGGGAGCUUCUUGUUAAGGAGCACAAACUACAACCCAGCCUUUGAGGACCGCAUCUCCAUCACUGCUGACACAGCCAAGAACCAGUUCUCCCUGCAGCUGAACUCCGUGACCCCCGAGGACACAGCCAUGUAUUACUGUGCAGGACUUGGCUCACAGUGA